UGCACAGUGAGGUAGUUAGAGGGAGACUUUAAUUCAUUAAUCAGGAAGAACUAUUUUCAUUCAGUGUAGAGUCAGUGUUGAGUAGCAGUACUUUCCUUCAUAUAAUAAUGAUGCAGUUGGUGGUUUUGUUGUCUGUCGUGCUCUCUGUGCUUUACAGCCAGGGGACGGACGCCUGUCCUGACGAGUGUAGCUGUCGUAAGGCGUCUGACUGUGAUGGGACUUAUGUAUAUUGUUAUGAUAGAGGACUGAGCGGAGUACCUACCAACAUCCCCACGGACACCUGUAGACUAUACUUGGAAAGUAAUCAAAUAACAGUUUUAACAGAUGGAAUCUUUGACUCGCUGGUGAAUCUAGAGCUACUAUACCUGUCUGGUAAUAGAAUAACAACGUUACAAAAAGAGGCAUUUGCUGGAUUGGUGAAACUAAAAACAUUCGCAAUACAAAGAAAUCCCUUGGCUUGCGAUUGUAAAUUAAUCGCCUUUGUCAGAUUUGCUGAAUCGAGAAACCUUAAAGAGGUACUCUUAUGACCCCGAACCCUCGUGUCAUAGUCCUGUAAAUCUCAAUGGAACGCUGUUGAAGGACGAGAGACUUCAGGACUUGGUUUGUGAAACAGAUUCCACCAUUCGUACAGACGCCCGCACCGUCACCACCGCUACAGACGCCCGCUCUACCCGCCCAGACAUCAAUACUACCGGAACAAACAGCGUUACAUCAAUCACAAAAGAAACAGUUCCUAUUCCAACAACAACCAUCAUCAUCAUCAUCUUGGCCACUUUAGUAUUGGUUUUUGCAACAGCAACAGGCAUAUUCGCUUAUCAACGAAGACGGAGAGAGGAAACCAAUUACGAACCACCGCGACCCUAUCCUGACAGCAACCCGGGUUAUGCGAUUCCAUUACAUGUAUACGAAGCGGCGAGUGAUGACAGAACAUACGAUGAGGUAGAGCCGUCAGAAGAAGCAGAAUACGAUAACACCCUCGGUCCUUCAUACCUAUAUGGUGUUCCUUCGUCUUCUGACAAUGUGUGAAAAAUAAGAUGUUUAGAAUUGUAGUAUAUCUUAUAUAUAUAUAUAAUUUUUGUUUCCUGUAUAUACAGUAUAAUCUGUCUAAACCGGCUAUGUGUGGUUCCAAAGAAAUUGGCCGGUUUGCACAGAGUCCGGAGUGCAGAAUGAGAGUUGCUGCCCUUGUAUUCAUUAUCUAUGCAUACGUGUGUAAUGAUUGCUAACGUUGUAAUAUAAUAACAAAAGAAUUCAAAAUAUAAAUGUCAGUGUUUUAUUGUCGUGCUCAUUUUAAAAAGAAAUCAAUUUUUAUUAAACAGUUUAAAAUCUGGGAAUUAUUCGCGCAAUUUUCUGUUGGUAAAUUGUCGAUUUCUUCUACAUCAUCGCCGUUAUCAAGUGCUACAUUAUAUACGUUCGUCAAGUUUGUAUUGUGUUCGUUUAAAAUUUGUCUUUUUCAGCUUUCAUUGUAAAUGUAUCGCUUUCAACUGUCUCAAUUUGUAAAACGGAAACUAAUGUAAUGCCAAGUGAUCGACCGGACAUGGCGAGUUGUGCCUAACUAACUGCAUAUCAUCAUUGUUUGACUCGCCGUAGAGUUCCGAGAAGUCCACGAGGGGAAACCCUGCUUUUGGAAAACAUAACGGGAUUGUUGCCGAUUUUGUUUCAUUCCAAGAAUGUAUCGAAUACAUCAAUUAAUUGAACUUUGUCUUUUAAUGUCAGUUCUCGUCUCUGUUGUUAGGGGGCGCACUUACCUCGUGCGUGGUGCUGUCAUAAUUGAAAAGUGCACCCCUAAAAAUCAGGUUUUAUUUUAAACUGAUCGCGACUCAUCGCCAGUUGCACUCUUUUACGUACCUGUGGCUUCCUUUGAGACACCCUUUGUGUACACCGCGUGUGAUCGACCGAAUACCGACAGGUUGGUCAUCGGUGGGUGGCUGGUUUAAAUGCGAUAAUUAGAGCUAAUUACGAGCAGUUGGGACCUUGUGUACACCGAAUACGAUUGACCGCAACAAUUAGGGUGGUGUAUCAUCGAGGGACCGGUUUACACAGGAUAAUUAAAGUUAAUUGAUAGCAGUUUGGACUGUGUAAGCCGGCCGAUAUACAGAAUACGCAGUAUCCGGAGUACAGGGAAUUAUUAAUAAAGGAUUUGUUAAAGAAAUGUUAGGGACUAUAUUUUGUGGCCGGAAUUGACAGAGCGCCGGAGUACUCAGAGGCCGGUUUGGACAAAUUAUACUCAUUACAAAUUUGCGGAUAUGAAGAGUUUACUAUAUUAUCUGUUGUAAUGUAUGUUUUGUUGUUUGUUUACAGAAUUUUCACAGGAAUAAACAAAUUUCAGUAU